rnacentral:ncRNA from 1 species
UGCGGUCACAAAAAAUAUAUUUUUGAGAAUGGGUUUUGCCAACAGCCCCCGAGGGGCGAAUAAAUCACAUAAGCGAUUUAUGCAUCAUU